UACGUAGGCAGCGAGCGUUGUUCGGAAUUACUGGGCGUAAAGAGUGUGUAGGCGGUGCUCUAAGUUCGGUGUGAAAUCUCCUGGCUCAACUGGGAGGGUGCGCCGGAAACUGGAGUGCUUGAGCGUGGGAGAGGAAAGCGGAAUUCCUGGUGUAGCGGUGAAAUGCGUAGAUAUCAGGAGGAACACCGAUGGCGAAGGCAGCUCGCUGGGACGGUACUGGACGCUGGAGACGCGAAAGCGUGGGGAGCAAACAGG
rnacentral:rRNA from 1 species